rnacentral:siRNA from 1 species
CUCGACCUCUGCGCCGCCGUC